GAGGGUGAAUGUGUGAAUUCAACGGUAACACUUGAAAUUGUGGCUGCAAACAACAACAACAACAACUAAACCUGAUCUACAGGUUAGAACUGAAUUCAAACUUUACAUUUAUUUCAUUCACUGAAAUAGUGAAACUAUUUCAACAUUUCAGACACAGGCCAAAAAUAAUAAAUACUAAAUCAAAUCGGAAUAAAACCGACCAAUGACGUCAUGCAAGUACGACACGGCCACUUAGGAGACCCGCCCACCUUUGCAAUGCUAGGCAACAAGGACGCCAAACAAGUGCGUGCGCAUACUGCAGGGCUUCGGCAGAAGUUUUGUAAACAAAGCAGCUACUUUUGUCGGAUUUUUAUGGCUGGAAAAAAGAAAGAAGUUAGUUUACAGGUGUCCAUCAGUAAUGACGAGCAAUGGGGCGAGAUGCUGGCCACGAAAGGGUUAACAGUGGUGGACGUGUUCCAGCAGUGGUGUGGACCAUGUCGUGCUGUCGUCAGCCUGUUCAGAAAAGUAAAAAAUGAGUUGGGAGAUGACCUGCUGCAUUUUGCCAUAGCAGAAGCUGAUAGCAUUGAAGCACUAGAGAAGUACAGAGGAAAAUGUGAGCCCACCUUCCUGUUCUAUGCUGGUGGGGAGCUUGUGGCUGUGUUGCGAGGGGCGAAUGCUCCUCUCCUGCAGAAAAUGAUAGUGGAAGAACUGGCCAAAGAGAAAAAGGUGCUCGAGCAGGACAUUAAGCGAAUUGCGGUGGAGGAUGAUGGGUUGAUCGAUAAAGAAGAAGUGCAAGAGGAAAUAGAAGCUCAUCAACAUGAAGAAUAUGAAGAAGCUCUUGUGCCUGCUAACAGGCCUUACACAAUGGGAAUCAUAAAGCCAGACGUUGUUGCACAUGGGAAGACAGAUGAGAUUAUUAUGAAGAUUCAGGAUGCAGGCUUUGAGAUUCUGGCUCAUGAGGAGCGCACACUGAGUGAGUCGGAGGCUCAGGAGUUUUAUCAGCACAAAGCAGCAGAGCCAUACUUUCAGGAGCUGAUCCGCUUCAUGUCCAGUGGCCCCUCCCAUGUUCUGGUCAUUUCUUAUCCUGAGGGUACUGAUGAUGUCAUUUCAGCUUGGCAGGCAUUCCUGGGACCAGCAGAUAUAGAAGAGGCCAAGAGAGAGCAUCCAGAGAGUCUGCGAGCUCAGUAUGGAACUGAGGAUCUCUUUAAUGCUCUUCACGGCAGUCGUGAUAGCGAGGAGGCUGGUAGGGAGCUGGCCUUCUUCUUCCCCAACUUCGGACCUCCAGAACCGGAACUGGCUCCUGUGGAGAGGACGCUGGCACUCGUUCAGCCUGACGCAGCCAGAGAAAACAGAGAUGAGAUCCUAGCAAGGAUCCAUGAGGCAGGAUUUACAGUGGCCAUGCAGAAGGAGGUGGAACUAGCAGAGGAACAGGUGCGCCAAUUCUAUGGUCAGCACCAAGAUGAGGAAAACUUCCAAGCUCUCCUCACUAACAUGACCAGUGGUCCUGUGCUGGCUCUGGUUCUGGCUAAACAGGGGGCUGUGGAGCACUGGAGAAAUCUGCUGGGACCCAAAGACCCAACACAGGCAAAGCAGGAACAGCCAAACUGCCUGAGAGCUCAGUUCACAGGGGAGAGUGUGUAUGUGAACCAGCUGCAUGGAAGCGAGAGCGUGGAAGCGGCUGAGCAGGAGAUCAGCUUCUUUUUCCCUACAGAGUGCACACUGGCUGUUAUCAAACCUGACACUUCAGAGGAGCUCAGAGAGGAGAUCUUGGUGGAGGUCCGAGCUGCAGGAUUCACCAUCUCUGAGCAGAAGGAGAUGGUUUUGUCCAGGGAGAUGGCUGAGGAAUUCUACGAACAGCUCACAGACAAGCCAUUCUUCAACCAGUUAGUGGACUACAUGUGUCGAAAGCUUAAAAUGGGCCGUGGUUGGAUCUUCCAGCUGGACAAUGAUCCAAAACAUACAUCAAAAUCAACACAAAAAUGGUUUACCGACCACAAAAUCAAGGUCCUGCCAUGGCCAUCCCAGUCCCCUGACCUGAACCCAUAGAAGACCUGUGGGGUGAACUGAAGAGGAGAGUCCACCAGAGUGAACCUUGAAAUUUGAAGGAUCUGGAGAGAUUCUAUAUGGAGGAAUGGUCUCAGAUCCCAUGUCAUGUAUUCUCCAACCUCAUCAGGCAUUAUAGGAGAAGACUCAGAGCCGUUAUCCUGGCAAAGGGAGGUAGCACAAAGUAUUGACUAAAAGGGUGCCAAUAAUUGCUGCGAAACCUAUAUUUAACAAAGUUUUUUUGGGAUAAACCUGUGUGUUAUUUGCAAUUGUUUGAUAUCCAUGAGAGCAGAGUAUUUUUGUGAUUUUUUUUAAACAAAAGAUCAAAAGAUUAAACAAAAAAAAAAACUAUUUUUCACAGCCUUCUUUGCUCAUAUUUACCAAGGGUGCCAAUAUUAGUGGAAGGCACUGGAUAUAGAUAUAUAGUGUUUUUGUAUAAAUCUGUGAGCAAACGUAAAUGCUUUAUGAAUUAACAUGUUUCCUACAGCUGAAGAAAAACAGCCACAAAGUAUGAUGCUGCCACCACCAUGCUUCCCUGUGGAGAUGGUGUUCCUUUGAUGAUGUGCUAUGAUUUUUUUGUGCCAAAGAUUUGUGCAAAACUUUUGGUAUUACGGCCAAAAAGUUGAACUUUGAUCUUAUCAGCUCAUUAGACAUUAUUCCACAUGGUUUUGGGAGAUUGGAUGCAUUUAUUUAUUUAUUUAUUGUUUAAAAAAAAAAGGCUUCUGUCUUGCCACCCUACCUCAUAGCCCAGUGAUAUGAAGAAUUUGGCAGAUUGCUGUCACAUGUAGGGAGCAACCAGUACUUUCCGGAAAUUGCUGCAAUUUCUUUUAAUGUUGCUGUAGGCCUCUUGGCAGCCUCUCUGACCAGUUUUCUCCUAAUCUUCUCAUCAAUUUUAGAGGGAUGUCCUGUUCUUAGUAGUGUCACUGUCAUGCCAUAUUUUCCCCAAUUGUUGAUUAUUGUUUUUACAGUGUUCUAUGGUAUAUUCACUGCCUUGGAAAUUUUGUUGUAACCUUCUCCUGACUGAUAUUUUUCAACAAUGAGAUCCCGUACCUAGUUUUUAAGCUCUUUCUGGCCCAUGGCAUUUCCGGUUGGAUGUUACCAAGAAGAUGUCAGGAAAAUCCUAUAGGAACAGCUGUACUUUAUUUGGGGUUAAUCAGUCACUUUAAUUGAUGGCAGGUAAUUAGUAUUUAACAUGAGUUUGAAUGUGAUUGGUUGAUUCUGAACACUGCUGCAUUCCCAAUUAUAAAGGGGAGUGCACACUUAUGCAAGCUGGGUAUUGGAAGUUUUUUUUUUUCACUUUAUUUAUUUUUUUAUAUAUAAUUUAUAGCCUACAAUUUGGGAACUAAAUUGCAUAUUGGAAGCGUCAAUAAGACAAUUUUAUUGUUAAUCAGUUGGGGAUUCUGAGGACAAAUUUUGGCUCCUUCCCUGACAUGGCAUAGCUAUUAAAGUGACACAUGAUCACAGUUGUCAGAUUCACAAACACACAAUUUUACUUAACAUGGAUGAUAUGAACUUGAUCAGUUUAUGAAUAUUUUUAUAUUGUAUAUUAAUCUUGGUGUUGUAUGCAAAUCUGAUUACAGUGAUAGCAGAUCAACACCUAAAGGAAAUGCUUUUAGUUUGAAUUAUAAUGAUGCAGGUUACUGCGAUCAUGGACCAGAACGAACUGUGUAGUCUCUAAGAUUUGGCUUUAUGUCUGACUGCUACAAAGUGCUGACACUGGACUCUCCUUCCAAAAAGUGGUCCAUGUACAAUGCUGAUUCUGUCUAAAGAGAAUGCGGUAGAGGAGUGGAGGACGAUGAUGGGCCCUGCUGACCCCAGUAAGGCAAAAGAGACAGCACCAGGAUCGCUGAGAGCUCGCUUUGCUAAGGACAU